rnacentral:rRNA from 1 species
GCAAGUCGAACGGCAGCACGGGUGCUUGCACCUGGUGGCGAGUGGCGUACGGGUGAGUAAUAUAUCGGAACGUGCCCUAGAGUGGGGGAUAACGUAGCGAAAGUUACGCUAAUACCGCAUACGAUCUACGGAUGAAAGUGGGGGAUCGCAAGACCUCAUGCUCCUGGAGCGGCCGAUAUCUGAUUAGCUAGUUGGUGGGGUAAUAGCCCACCAAGGCGACGAUCAGUAGCUGGUCUGAGAGGACGACCAGCCACACUGGGACUGAGACACGGCCCAGACUCCUACGGGAGGCAGCAGUGGGGAAUUUUGGACAAUGGGGGAAACCCUGAUCCAGCAAUGCCGCGUGUGUGAAGAAGGCCUUCGGGUUGUAAAGCACUUUUGUCAGGAACGAAACGGUGGGGGCUAAUACCCUCUGCUAAUGACGGUACCUGAAGAAUAAGCACCGGCUAACUACGUGCCAGCAGCCGCGGUAAUACGUAGGGUGCGAGCGUUAAUCGGAAUUACUGGGCGUAAAGCGUGCGCAGGCGGUUGUGCAAGACAGAUGUGAAAUCCCCGGGCUUAACCUGGGAAUUGCAUUUGUGACUGCACGGCUAGAGUGUGUCAGAGGGGGGUAGAAUUCCACGUGUAGCAGUGAAAUGCGUAGAUAUGUGGAGGAAUACCGAUGGCG